ACGAACGCUGGCGGCAUGCCUAACACAUGCAAGUCGAACGAGACCUUCGGGUCUAGUGGCGCACGGGUGCGUAACGCGUGGGAAUCUACCCUCAGGUUCGGAAUAACUCAGAGAAAUUUGAGCUAAUACCGGAUGAUGACGUAAGUCCAAAGAUUUAUCGCCUGAGGAUGAGCCCGCGUAGGAUUAGGUAGUUGGUGAGGUAAAGGCUCACCAAGCCGACGAUCCUUAGCUGGUCUGAGAGGAUGAUCAGCCACACUGGGACUGAGACACGGCCCAGACUCCUACGGGAGGCAGCAGUGGGGAAUAUUGGACAAUGGGCGAAAGCCUGAUCCAGCAAUGCCGCGUGAGUGAUGAAGGCCUUAGGGUUGUAAAGCUCUUUUACCCGGGAUGAUAAUGACAGUACCGGGAGAAUAAGCUUCGGCUAACUCCGUG
rnacentral:rRNA from 1 species